UUCCAGUCUCCAGGCAAAAAAUGACUGAAGUCAGUCCAUCUUUUCAAGCACUACAUUACAUUUUAUAGCCUAUAGAGUAAAUGUGAUCUGAAAUUAUUUUGUCCUUACUCUUCUAUUUGUAUGCUUAUUCUGUAUUUGUCAUUUUUUCCAGUUAUGAUGCACACUGUUUCUAGCUGGGGAUCCUAAGACCGACAAGCAAAUCCGUAGAGCAACAAAGCGUGUUCAUUUGUCUGUUGCUGAAAGGCUGCUUAAAGAAUUUGCUUGUUCGAUAUGUCGGGCGGUGAUUAAAGAACCACUUACGACUCCAUGUGCCCACAACUUUUGCAAGACUUGUUUGCUUGGGGCAUAUGAUAGCCAGUCUUCUGUAAGGGAAAGAAGCUGUGGUGGUCGGACUCUAAGGGCACAGAAGAUUGUGAAGACGUGCCCUUCCUGCCCAACUGACAUCUGUGACUUCUUAGAGAAUCCCCAGAUCAACCGAGAAAUGGAGUUGAUUGAGACUUUGCAACACAAGGCUGUUGAAGAAGCCAAGAUGGCUUCAGAUGAUGCUGAGGAAUGUGGUGAUGGUGAUUUGGAGGAAAAUGAUGGUGAUUUGGUGAAGGGAGGUAGUGGUUUGAAUGAGGGAGAGCAAGACAGUGCAGACGCUGAUGCUUGUAACUGGUUUGAACGAGGGCUCGAUCGGAGCAGGAAGAUUGUGGUUGAAAUCAAGGAGGAAGGAAAAGAUGAUAAAAGGUCAAAGAUGGGCGUCACUGAAGUGUUGUAAUAGUCUGUUGAUGAAGAUGCCCGCAAGGUUGAUGCUGAGGCUGGCACCAACGGUGGCAAGAGGAUGAAGAGCAGUAAUAUCGUGGAAGAGGUUCUUGUGUGCUCGUGCGUGUGCGUACUGAUAUCGCCAAUUUUAGGUGGUUCAGAAAGUAGGAAUGUUUUUAUCUCUCGUGGCACAUACCACUUUUGUUUGAAUAUAUUUGACUGCUAUUUUGGGUUUAUGAUUUUGCUCCAUUUAGAAGAUAAGCCUGCCUUAUGUCUGUAGUGCGAAUGCCAUAUUUACCUC